rnacentral:rRNA from 1 species
GAUGAACGCUAGCGGCAGGCUUAAUACAUGCAAGUCGAGGGGCAGCACGGGUAGCAAUACCUGGUGGCGACCGGCAAACGGGUGCGGAACACGUACGCAACCUUCCCAAAACAGGUGAAUAGCCCUGCGAAAGUAGGAUUAAUACACCGUAAGAUAUAGAGGUGGCAUCACAUCUAUAUUAUAGGCAGCAAUGCCGGUUUUGGAUGGGCGUGCGCCUGAUUAGGUAGUUGGUGCGGGUAACGGCCCACCAAGCCUUCGAUCAGUAACUGGUGUGAGAGCACGACCAGUCACACGGGCACUGAGACACGGGCCCGACUCCUACGGGAGGCAGCAGUAAGGAAUAUUGGUCAAUGGACGGAAGUCUGAACCAGCCAUGCCGCGUGAAGGAUGAAGGCCCUCUGGGUUGUAAACUUCUUUUAUCUGGGACGAAAAAGGGCUUUAUAGCUCACUUGACGGUACCAGAGGAAUAAGCACCGGCUAACUCCGUGCCAGC